rnacentral:ribozyme from 1 species
UGUAUACAUUGCUCUGCUAACGGGGUAAGAUCCGAGGAUACUGUGGGGGUCCUAUAGGCUCUCCUACCAGGAGUUGCGUCCGUCACGUCCUCGACGUGCAGAGUGGUAACUUGCCCCAUAUCCAAGCUUUGGUACACGGAUUAUUCCCAACCCCUUGGGCAGAGCGAGCAAUGGGGUUACCUGAACGCC